rnacentral:miRNA from 1 species
GUGUAGAUACAUUAAGUUGAUGCAAAAGUAAUUGCAGUUUUUGCCAUUAAAAGUAAUAGCAAAAAUUACAAUUACUUUUGCACCAGGCUAAUAGCUUUUAUUCUCUUCUCCUCUGCCUCUAUGCCCUUACCCUGUCCCA